GGGCCACACCCACAGCAUAUGGAAGUUCCCAGGCUAGGGGUCUAAUCCAAGCUAUAGCCAACAGCUUACACCACAGUCACAGCAAUGCAGGAUCCAAGCCAUAUCUGUGAUCUAUACCACAGCUUGUGGCAGCACCAGAUCCUUAAUCCACUGAAUGAGGCCAAAGAUUGAAUCUCAGUCCUCAUGGAUAUUAGUUGGGUUCAUUACUGAAGAGCCACAGCAAGAACUCCUCCUGCCCCCUUUCAGACCCAGUACACCUUCUGUCUCUUCUGGGGUUUCUUGGACAGCUCCUGUAAUGUUUUGGCACCAUGAAUCUUUCUAUGGCUUAUGGAUUUCUCCAGGAUUAGAUUUGGAGAAUGGAAUAACAUCUAGGUUAGUUUUCCAUCUAAUAGAAAAUAUUCAGUUUAUACUUUUCUAAAUCUCCUCAAAUAUCUCCUAUUUAUAUAUGUGUGUGUUUUCUGUUAAGUAACAAGGGUAUGAGAGGGGUUUAAGUUAUUCAGUGUUUCUAUAGAAAAGGGAAAAAUUCACCAUAUGAUCUCUUUUUCACCAUUUAUAAUCUUCAUAUAUGUAUAUUUGAAAAAUGUAAUAUUUAUCAAGCCCUGUUAUGUAAUUUAAAGAAGUGAGCACAGUGUCUGUUAUUGGAGCUAACUCUCAAAAGAUCUGACAAAAGCCUUUAAAUGUCCUGAGUAAUGGAUCUUGUAUGUAUUUUCUUUAGUUGUAUCAAGUAUUUGUGAAUCCCUAGUCUAAAGAGUAUCUAAGCAGAAAACACACUUUUAAAAAUCACUUUAGGGAGUUCCCAUCAUGGCUCAGUGGUUAAUGAAUCCGACUAGGAACCAUGAGGUUGCGGGUUCGAUCCCUGGCCUUGCUCAGUGGGUUAGGGAUCUGGCGUUAUCAUGAGCUGUGGUGUAGGUCGCAGACGUGGCUUGGAUCCCACGUGGCUGUGGCUCUGACAUAGGCUGGCGGCUACAGCUCCGAUAUGACCCCUAGCCUGGGAACCUCCAUAUGCCAUGGGAGUGGCCCUAGAAAAGACAAAAAAAAAAAAAUCACUUUAUACUCAGUCCUCUCAGAAAAUUUCCAAGAACUGAUCAGCCAAUUUUAUCUUUCAAUAAAUAAACCCUGAUGAUAGCCAUUUUAUGAUUUGCAAAUCUUUUAUGACUUCUCUUUUUGGAAGCUGACCAUUUUCUAAAAGAGGGCACCACCAAAAUGUCACCUGUCUUAAUGAGAUAGGUGAAAAAUCUGUUGUCAGGCAUGUGGAUGCUUAUGUCUUCGUUCCCUCUCCAGUUAUUCCUGCAGGCAUUGUAGUUGUUCUCCUUGGUGAUGCCAUUGACUUCAUCAAGUAAUGUGCCACUUUUUGUUAAUCACAUAAUAUGGCUUUCUUAUCAACCCGGUUCUAUACUGUGCACUUUCUUUUUCUAUCUUGGCCAUUGUGUUGUGAAUGAAGGAGCAAAAUAAGGUAUAUCACCUGUAUUGCUUUGGAAGAAAGUGAUUGUCAAAAUAAUACUAUCCCACUCCAUCUAUCUCUUUCCCAAGUGACACAGCUGACUGCUUUAUUGACAACGACAAAUGUGGCAAAGCCAAUAGAGCCAGGGAAGAGAAAAAUAAGUGCCACCCAUAUUAAUGAUCUGUGAAAGACAGGAACACUUGGACAGUUUGAUAGAGUUUUGGAUAUGGACACAUCUAUGGUAAAUAUGUCAUAUACAUUUUCUUCUUCAUAGGAAAUCUAGAGGGGCUAAUAAACUAUAAACUACAUCCAGUCAAUUUUACAGUUACUUUAGUCUAUUUGUAAGCAGGCUCAUUAUGGAGGAGACCUGAGGGUGAGAGAUUUCUACCUUAGGUAUCCAUUUUGCCCUGAAACUUUUAGCAAGUUGUUUUCCUAAACUGUCUUCCUAGGAAGGUGGCAGAAUUCUCAAGAGUUAUUUAACAUUUGCCUACCUCAUGAAUACAUUUAAGUUCCUUUCACUGUUUAUAAUUAUACUCCUUUAAUAACCAUGUUGAGUAGAAGGAUAGAGCUCUAGGCUCUGGACUCAGUUAUUAGCUGUAACUUUGUGUGAGUUGCUUAACCUCUCUAGUCUCAGUUUUCUCAUCUGUAAAAUGAGAAUAAUUUUCACCUAAGAGGGAUUAAAUGAGAAAAUGUGUAUAAUCAUAUAAUAGAGGGACAGGAUGAGAGUAAAUGCUAGACAAACGUAGCUGUUAUUUUUACUAACAUCAGGGCAAAUGAACGGAGGAAGUGGCUGUGUGGAUAACAGUGGUUAUGGUGUAAGGGGUAUAACCAACCACAUCUGAUAUCAUGAACCUUGAUGAAAUAGAAAAGCAGGGGACAAGGCACAACUCACACAAAGGAUGACAUAGCCUUUGAGGAUGCAACAAAAACUGGUUAGAACCAACUAGGUCCAAGAUGGCAUAAAAUUCAACUUCUAAUAGAACUUGAGCUUCUAUAUGCUCAUUGUAAUACAUAUUACCUAAAUGACACACCCACAGGUGCCAUGACAGUUCCAAGGCCAACUAUAAAAGGCCAAAAGUGGGCGUGGCUCAAUUCCUGGAAAUCCCUGCCCCUUCCCCAAAAUAGUUAUAAUAAUCUUCCCACUCAUUAGUCGAUGAAAUUGCUAAUGAAUUACAGCCCAUAAAAACUCACCACCCUAUGUUUUGAGGCCUCUCACCUUCUGAGAUGGCCCACAUUCUGUCUUGUAGAGUAUGUUUCUUCCAGGUUGCUUUCACCUUCUGCCUCUCACCUUCUGAGAUGGCUCACACUCUGUCUGUGGAGUGUGUUACUCUCUCAAUAAAUCCAUUUCUUACCUAUCACUUUGCCUCUUGCUGAAUUCUUUCUGCACUGAGACAUAAAGAAUCUGAGCUUCAUUAAGUCCUAAGGCCAACUACGUGAUUUCAAUUAAAAGACAGUGGGUUCAUGUCUUAGCUAUUGUGAAUAGAGCUGCAAUGAACAUGCCCAAAUGUCCAUUAACAGACAACUGGAUUAGGAAGAUGUGGUAUAUAUACACAAUGGAAUACUACUCAGCCAUAAAAAAGAACAAACUAAUGCCAAUUGCAGCAACAUGGAUGGAACUAGAGACUCUCAUCCUAAGUGAAAUAAGUCAGAAAGAGAAAAACAAAUACCAUGUUAUAUCACUCAUUUCUGGUAUCUAAUAUACAGCACAAAUGAACCUUUCUACAGAAAAGAAAAUCAUGGACUUGGAGAAUAGACUUGUGGUUGCCAAGGGAGAGGGGGAGGGAGUGGAAGGGAUUGGGAGCUUCAGGUUAAUGGAUGCAAACUAUUGCUCUUGUAAUGGAUUAACAAUGAGAUCCUGCUGUGUAGCACUGAGAACUAUGUCUAGAUACUUACAACACAGCAGACAAUGGGAGAAAAAAUCAUGUAUACUUGUAUGUGUAACUGGGUCUCCAUGCUGUACAGUGGAAAAAAAAAGUGUGUUGGAGGAAAUAACAAUAAAAACUAAAUUCAAACAAACAAACAAAAACAACAACGAAAAAAAAACCCAUAGUUCAGACACAUUAAAAAAAAACAACAACAACAACAUAUGUGGGUUCAAGUCCCAGUCUGGGUUUGGGCUGGGUUCAAGUCCCUGUCUGAGUUACGCAGAUUCAGCUGGCCCAACCUGAGUUCCAAUAUUAUUGAAAAGACUUCUUUUGUUCUUCCCCAAGCCCAAAAUUUGCUCUAAAUCAUAGAGGAUUCCUGAAAGAACAUAAAGCUGAAAUGAGUUGGACAAAAUUACAAUGCUAACCUACUGGCAGUAAAAAUUAUUUUCAGCUUCUGAAGGAAAUAAAAACUAAUGUAAUGAAUGGAAGUGAAAUAAAAUAACCUUGAAAAGGAUAAUUAAUUGAUGAAUAGAUGAUUAGAAAACACUUUAAAAUUGAAGUAUGACUUAGAUCAAAGCUCUUGGCUAAUAUUUGAGCACUGAAGAAACACUAGAUGUCUUAUAAAAGAACUUUCAGCCUUAUACUGAAACCCCAAGGCGAAUAAACAAGGAAACAAAGCCAAACAAAUCCGGAGAUGCUGAACUGUAUACAGUAAGUGAAAAUGUCUUACGUUUUCCUUACCCAUCUUCAUAAACAUAAGCUGCCACAGUAACAGAAUCCAUUGCAUCAGAUACAAUAGGAGAACCCAAACCCCAAGAUGUGACACAUCCAGAAAUGUCAAGCAAUAAAGGGAAAGCAUUUGCUUUAUUACCAUGAACUUUGAAGACCAGGGGUUAAUGAUCCCAUAACCUCUGACCAAUGUGUCCUUCAUUUGAUGGAAAAAGCCCCACAAAUUUAAUAUGAUUAAAGAUAAAUCAGAGCUCUUGAAAAAACCAUUAAGUCUUAAGUGUUAAUUUCCUUAGUGAAAUCUUUGCUCUAUCACCUUGUUAUAUAUGAAUCAUGACAGAGGAGUGAAAAAGCAGUGCUCCUAGAUUUUGAGGGCUCAGCUUUAUGCCUCCCAUCCUAGGCCAAAUCCUUAAGCUUCUAGUAAAAUCUAACAAUUUCUGAGAGCCUAUUUAUAAGGUCAAAAGAAGGGAAGAGAAGGUGGUGGGGCAGGUGGGGGGGGCUAUCUGAACAAAUGACAAAUGAAGACAUAUUUCAUUGAGAUCUCAUUGACUUUUAGAAAUACUUUGAACAACAGCCAUGGCCACUGGGGUGCUGUAAUGACAUGCCCCAUUAUAAAAUGUAACACUAAGUAAACGUAGGAGUGGAAAUUUAACAAUUGAACAUUUAAUGGCUGCAAUUAUGGCAAAAGAAUAAUGAACCUAUUAGACAGGAGAACUGGCAAUUACUCUACAGCUUAUUGGAAUACAGCUGUGAAAAAGUAAUACAGCAGCAUACUUAAGAAUGGUUAUUAAAAGAGGAUAAUGCAUUCUGUUUACACUGACAGAAGCAAUUUUUCUUUUGAAAUGAAAUGGGGCUUUUUGGCUAUCAGACAUAUGAACUCAGAUAUGAUGAAUCCUACUAUUUAAAGGUAAUGCAUUUUCAAGAUAUGCCUCUCUAGCUGUAAAUGAUGCCUCCACUCAGAUCAUAAGGUGAGAUUUUUUUUUUUUUGGUGGAAAAAAAUGGAAGAAGAUGUCACGAUGGACUUAUAAACGCUAUAUAAAUCACCUGGAGAAAAGUGGGCUAAAUUUUAAAUGAUCCAAAUAGCUGCAAUAAAUGAAACAGCUACAGGUUCAAAGAUGAGGGCUGUCAAGAGAGGGUGUUCAGAACAAUUACAUGAUCUAUGAAAUCAUCAUUUCGGUGUCCAGGAGUGAUGGAUGUGUCCCACGAAGUUUUUAAAUGUAUACACUUCUACAUACUAUUUAUAUGGCCUUCUCCAUUUUCAGAUAUACCCUUCCAAAUGUAGUUAUCAGAACCCUGGGAGUCAGCCAAACAUCAGGCUGGCUGAAAACAAUAAUUGAGACAAAGGGGUCAGGCACUGAAAUGCAGUUGAAGUGUAAGAAAAGUGUCCACCCUAAGUGCAUUUGACAGAAUGGAGAGGGGGCUGAGCCUUUCGAGACCCAGACGCCUGCCUGGAGACAGAUUUUGGAGGGGGAGAUACAUUCUUGAAACAAGGUGUCAUUUCUGGCCAUUUUCAAAGUAGAUUGGAGGAAUAUAAAAGAGAAGUCUUAACUUCCCAGAAUCCUGGAAAUUUUCAGAGAUCCUUGGGGGACGCCCUCUGGUCCAUCCUCUUCCUACUGAUAGGACCAUAGUUAAGCCAUCUCACACAGAGUCCUCUGUUUUGUCUUUUACCAAGGAAAACUGAAGACUUGAUGUUCACAAUGAAAAAAAAAAAUGCAAACCUCCCUCUCUGUGCAGAAAGGCUGCCUGAAAUUCAAAAUCAGAUCCCUUUUCCUAUCAUUUUAUAGGACAGGAUUAAAUCAUGGCGACCAGGACUUGAACCUCAACCUUCCUGGAAAACUGUUGUGUACAGAUGCCCCCUCCCCAACUCCAGUUCGAAUUUUGCAACAAUCCCAUCAGGUCACAUGCCUGAAGCUUGAAGUCAGCUGCUCAUUACGCCUUAGAUAACAAGCUUAUAUAGCAAGAGAUUGUUUUUAGUGGUGUAUUCUGUCUGAGUUCUUGCUGUGG
rnacentral:lncRNA from 1 species